rnacentral:rRNA from 1 species
UAUUGGGCAAUGGGGGAAACCCUGACCCAGCAACGCCGCGUGAAGGAAGAAGGUUUUCGGAUUGUAAACUUCUGUCCUUGGUGAAGAGAAGAAGACGGUAGCCAAGGAGGAAGCCCCGGCUAACUACGUGCCAGCAGCCGCGGUAAUACGUAGGGGGCAAGCGUUGUCCGGAAUGAUUGGGCGUAAAGGGCGCGUAGGCGGCUUUAUAAGUCUGGAGUGAAAGUCCUCUUUUCAAGGGAGGAAUUGCUUUGGAAACUAUAGAGCUUGAGUGCAGGAGAGGUUAUCGGAAUUCCCGGUGUAGCGGUGAAAUGCGUAGAUAUCGGGAGGAACAUCGGUGGCGAAGGCGGGUAACUGGACUGCAACUGACGCUGAGGCGCGAAAGUGCGGGGAGCAAACAGG